rnacentral:lncRNA from 1 species
GUGAUGCGUGGCUGUGGGUUUGUGGCUUUGAGUGCAUGUCUGUCUGUGUGUGGGUGUGUGUGACAGGCCACCGUAGGCUCCCUCUAACCUCGCAUGUGAAACUACUCUACCCCCUCGCACACAGGGAUUCCCCCAUAGCCGUGAGUGUGGAACGUCACCUACAUGUUGAAACUGCGUCAUGGCCAAGUAGAGUGCACAUCUGUAGGAACAGAGGAGAAGGCAGACCACGUACCGUGAAACUGCUGCCCUUGCUCAUUCUAAUGGACAAUGACCCAACACACCUCCAGGCUGUGUAAGGGCUGUUUGACCAAGAAGGAGAAUGAUGGGGUGCUGCAUCAGAUGACCUGGCCUCCACAAUCACCCGACCUCAACCCAAUUGAGAUGGUUUGGGAUGAGUUGAACCGCAGAGUGAAGGAAAAGCAGCCAACAAGUGCUCAGCAUAUGUGGGAACUCCUUCAAGACUGUUGGAAAAGCAUUCCAGAUGAAGCUGGUUGAGAGAAUGCCAGGAGUGUGCAAAGCUGUCAUCAAGAGAGCUCUGCCGCUGCUCUCUCUGACAUCACAGGCAGGCGUGGUCCGCCCCCACGUUGCCUUGCAGAGAUGGGCCUACCUGUGACGCACACACUCCUCCUCGG